CCAAGCUGUGAUUGUCCAAACGCAAUUCUUGUGCGAUCGUUACCAAGAACUGUGUCGGGACAUCAGGGUUUGG
rfam:Ixodes scapularis strain Wikel colony gcontig_1108378440034, whole genome shotgun sequence.